rnacentral:rRNA from 1 species
GACGAACGCUGGCGGCGUGCCUAAUACAUGCAAGUAGAACGCACAGUUUAUACCGUAGCUUGCUACACCAUAGACUGUGAGUUGCGAACGGGUGAGUAACGCGUAGGUAACCUGCCUGGUAGCGGGGGAUAACUAUUGGAAACGAUAGCUAAUACCGCAUAAUAUUAAUUAUUGCAUGAUAAUUAAUUGAAAGGUGCAAUUGCACCACUACCAGAUGGACCUGCGUUGUAUUAGCUAGUAGGUGAGGUAACGGCUCACCUAGGCGACGAUACAUAGCCGACCUGAGAGGGUGAUCGGCCAAACUGGGACGGGGACACGGCCCAGACUCCUACGGGAGGCAGCAGUAGGGAAUCUUCGGCAAUGGACGAAAGUCUGACCGAGCAACGCCGCGUGAGUGAAGAAGGUUUUCGGAUCGUAAAGCUCUGUUGUAAGAGAAGAACGGGUGUGAGAGUGGAAAGUUCACACUGUGACGGUAUCUUAACAGAAAGGGACGGCUAACUACGUG